rnacentral:rRNA from 1 species
UACAGAGGAUGCAAGCGUUAUCCGGAAUGAUUGGGCGUAAAGCGUCUGUAGGUGGCUUUUUAAGUCCGCCGUCAAAUCCCAGGGCUCAACUCUGGACAGGCGGUGGAAACUACCAAGCUGGAGUACGGGAGGGGCAGAGGGAAUUUCCGGUGGAGCGGUGAAAUGCGUAGAGAUCGGAAAGAACACCAGAGGCGAAAGCACUCGGCUGGGGGGACACUGACACUGAGAGGCGAAAGCUAGGGGAGCGAAUGGG